UUUGAGAGAAGUGUGAGCCAGAGGCCAAACAAAUUGCAAAGUCAUGAAAAACAAGCCUAAAGCAAACCUAAAAUUACCAUACAAAUUGCAUUUAUAUCAGUAUUUCAACUUCUAGGCAUCAGCCAUCGUGGAUCACCACACUGCUCCCAACAUCCAAGCUAAGAAGUCAACUCCAGAGAUCAGCGGGUUUUAUUUGACUCAGUCCUGAGGAGAGGAAAACUGUUGUCUGGAGUGGAAGCAGGGGAUCUGGACACAAAACUUCCCAGAGUUGUCACUUAUUUUCUGUGCCCUUGGUAUAUUGACUGAAAUGAGAGAAAAAUACGGACUCAGCAUUUCACUGAAGUUCACGGAGUUACAUCAAGUGGAUUCUUGGACUGUGUAGAUAACAGGGCAAAGCAAACCCGAC